UACGUAGGGUGCAAGCGUUGUCCGGAAUUAUUGGGCGUAAAGGGCGCGCAGGCGGCUACGCACGUCCGUUGUGAAAUCGCUCGGCUCAACUGGGCGGGGUCAGCGGAUACGGCGUAGCUGGAGCAAGCUAGGGGGCAAUGGAAUUCCCGGUGUAGUGGUGGAAUGCGUAGAUAUCGGGAGGAACACCAGUGGCGAAGGCGGUUGCCUGGAGCUUUGCUGACGCUGAGGCGCGAAAGCGUGGGGAGCGAGUCCGG
rnacentral:rRNA from 1 species